UGGGGAAUUUUGGACAAUGGGCGAAAGCCUGAUCCAGCAAUGCCGCGUGUGUGAAGAAGGCCUUCGGGUUGUAAAGCACUUUUGUCCGGAAAGAAAUCCUUGGCUCUAAUACAGUCGGGGGAUGACGGUACCGGAAGAAUAAGCACCGGCUAACUACGUGCCAGCAGCCGCGGUAAUACGUAGGGUGCAAGCGUUAAUCGGAAUUACUGGGCGUAAAGCGUGCGCAGGCGGUUUGCUAAGACCGAUGUGAAAUCCCCGGGCUCAACCUGGGAACUGCAUUGGUGACUGGCAGGCUAGAGUAUGGCAGAGGGGGGUAGAAUUCCACGUGUAGCAGUGAAAUGCGUGGAGAUGUGGAGGAAUACCGAUGGCGAAGGCAGCCCCCGUGGGCCAAUACUGACGCUCAUGCACGAAAGCGUGGGGAGCAAACAGGAUUAGAUACCCUGGUAGUCCACGCCCUAAACGAUGUCAACUAGUUGUCGGGGAUUCAUUUUCCUUAGUAACGUAGCUAACGCGUGAAGUUGACCGCCUGGGGAGUACGGUCGCAAGAUUAAAACUCAAAUGAAUUGAC
rnacentral:rRNA from 1 species